GAGUUAGGGUUAGUGUUGGAGCUAGGGUUAGGGUUGGGCUUGGAGCUAGGACUUUUCUGAGUGCAAUGAACCAACUCCCGAGUCUCUAGGAGUUCCUAAAAAAAUUUGAUUUUUUCCCAUAGGAAUGCAUGGGUUAGGGUUAGGGUUAGGGUUGGAGCUAGGGUUAGGGUUAGGGUUAGGGUUGGAGUUAGGGUUAGUGUUGGAGCUAGGGUUAGGGUUGGGCUUGGAGCUAGGAUUUUUCUGAGUGCACUGAACCAACUCCCGAGUCUCUAGGACAUUCCUAAAAAAAUUUGAUUUUUUCCCAUAGGAAUGCAUGGGUUAGGGUUAUGGUUAGGGUUAGGGUUGGAGCUAGGGUUAGGGUUAGGGUUAGGGUUGGAGUUAGGGUUAGUGUUGGAGCUAGGGUUAGGGUUGGGCUUGGAGCUAGGAUUUUUCUGAGUGCACUGAACCAACUCCCGAGUCUCUAGGACAUUCCUAAAAAAAUUUGAUUUUUUCCCAUAGGAAUGCAUGGGUUAGGGUUAUGGUUAGGGUUAGGGUUGGAGCUAGGGUUAGGGUUAGGGUUAGGGUUGGAGUUAGGGUUAGUGUUGGAGCUAGGGUUAGGGUUGGGCUUGGAGCUAGGAUUUUUCUGAGUGCACUGAACCAACUCCCGAGUCUCUAGGACAUUCCUAAAAAAAUUUGAUUUUUUCCCAUAGGAAUGCAUGGGUUAGGGGGUUAGGGUUAGGGUUGGAGCUAGGGUUAGGGUUAGGGUUAGGGUUGGAGUUAGGGUUAGUGUUGGAGCUAGGGUUAGGGUUGGGCUUGGAGCUAGGAUUUUUCUGAGUGCACUGAACCAACUCCCGAGUCUCUAGGACAUUCCUAAAAAAAUUUGAUUUUUUCCCAUAGGAAUGCAUGGGUUAGGGGUUAGGGUUAGGGUUGGAGCUAGGGUUAGGGUUAGGGUUAGGGUUGGAGUUAGGGUUAGUGUUGGAGCUAGGGUUAGGGUUGGGCUUGGAGCUAGGAUUUUUCUGAGUGCACUGAACCAACUCCCGAGUCUCUAGGACAUUCCUAAAAAAAUUUGAUUUUUUCCCAUAGGAAUGCAUGGGUUAGGGUUAUGGUUAGGGUUAGGGUUGGAGCUAGGGUUAGGGUUAGGGUUAGGGUUGGAGUUAGGGUUAGUGUUGGAGCUAGGGUUAGGGUUGGGCUUGGAGCUAGGAUUUUUCUGAGUGCACUGAACCAACUCCCGAGUCUCUAGGACAUUCCUAAAAAAAUUUGAUUUUUUCCCAUAGGAAUGCAUGGGUUAGGGUUAUGGUUAGGGUUAGGGUUGGAGCUAGGGUUAGGGUUAGGGUUAGGGUUGGAGUUAGGGUUAGUGUUGGAGCUAGGGUUAGGGUUGGGCUUGGAGCUAGGAUUUUUCUGAGUGCACUGAACCAACUCCCGAGUCUCUAGGACAUUCCUAAAAAAAUUUGAUUUUUUCCCAUAGGAAUGCAUGGGUUAGGGUUAUGGUUAGGGUUAGGGUUGGAGCUAGGGUUAGGGUUAGGGUUAGGGUUGGAGUUAGGGUUAGUGUUGGAGCUAGGGUUAGGGUUGGGCUUGGAGCUAGGAUUUUUCUGAGUGCACUGAACCAACUCCCGAGUCUCUAGGACGUUCCUAAAAAAAUUUGAUUUUUUCCCAUAGGAAUGCAUGGGUUAGGGUUAGGGUUAGGGUUGGAGCUAGGGUUAGGGUUAGGGUUAGGGUUGGAGUUAGGGUUAGUGUUGGAGCUUUGGUUAGGGUUGGGCUUGGAGCUAGGAUUUUUCUGAGUGCACUGAACCAACUCCCGAGUCUCUAGGACAUUCCUAAAAAAAUUUGAUUUUUUCCCAUAGGAAUGCAUGGGUUAGGGUUAUGGUUAGGGUUAGGGUUGGAGCUAGGGUUAGGGUUAGGGUUAGGGUUGGAGUUAGGGUUAGUGUUGGAGCUAGGGUUAGGGUUGGGCUUGGAGCUAGGAUUUUCUGAGUGCACUGAACCAACUCCCGAGUCUCUAGGACAUUCCUAAAAAAAUUUGAUUUUUUCCCAUAGGAAUGCAUGGGUUAGGGUUAUGGUUAGGGUUAGGGUUGGAGCUAGGGUUAGGGUUAGGGUUAGGGUUGGAGUUAGGGUUAGUGUUGGAGCUAGGGUUAGGGUUGGGCUUGGAGCUAGGAUUUUUCUGAGUGCACUGAACCAACUCCCGAGUCUCUAGGACAUUCCCUAAAAAAAAUUUGAUUUUUUCCCAUAGGAAUGCAUGGGUUAGGGUUAGGGUUAGGGUUGGAUUUAGGGUUAGGGUUAGGGUUAGGGUUGGAGUUAGGGUUAGUGUUGGAGCUAGGGUUAGGGUUGGGCUUGGAGCUAGGAUUUUUCUGAGUGCACUGAACCAACUCCCGAGUCUCUAGGACAUUCCUAAAAAAAUUUGAUUUUUUCCCAUAGGAAUGCAUGGGUUAGGGUUAGGGUUAGGGUUGGAGCUAGGGUUAGGGUUAGGGUUGGAGUUAGGGUUAGUGUUGGAGCUAGGGUUAGGGUUGGGCUUGGAGCUAGGAUUUUUCUGAGUGCACUGAACCAACUCCCGAGUCUCUAGGACGUUCCUAAAAAAAUUUGAUUUUUUCCCAUAGGAAUGCAUGGGUUGGGGUUAGGGUUAGGGUUGGAGCUAGGGUUAGGGUUGGGGUUAGGGUUGGAGUUAGGGUUAGUGUUGGAGCUAGGGUUAGGGUUGGGCUUGGAGCUAGGAUUUUUCUGAGUGCACUGAACCAACUCCCGAGUCUCUAGGACAUUCCUAAAAAAAUUUGAUUUUUUCCCAUAGGAAUGCAUGGGUUAGGGUUAUGGUUAGGGUUAGGGUUGGAGCUAGGGUUAGGGUUAGGGUUAGGGUUGGAGUUAGGGUUAGUGUUGGAGCUAGGGUUAGGGUUGGGCUUGGAGCUAGGAUUUUUCUGAGUGCACUGAACCAACUCCCGAGUCUCUAGGACAUUCCUAAAAAAAUUUGAUUUUUUCCCAUAGGAAUGCAUGGGUUAGGGUUAGGGUUAGGGUUGGAGCUAGGGUUAGGGUUAGGGUUAGGGUUGGAGUUAGGGUUAGUGUUGGAGCUAGGGUUAGGGUUGGGCUUGGAGCUAGGAUUUUUCUGAGUGCACUGAACCAACUCCCGAGUCUCUAGGACAUUCCUAAAAAAAUUUGAUUUUUUCCCAUAGGAAUGCAUGGGUUAGGGUUAGGGUUAGGGUUAGGGUUGGAGCUAGGGUUAGGGUUAGGGUUAGGGUUAGGGUUAGGGUUAGGGUUGGAGUUAGGGUUAGUGUUGGAGCUAGGGUUAGGGUUGGGCUUGGAGCUAGGAUUUUUCUGAGUGCACUGAACCAACUCCCGAGUCUCUAGGACGUUCCUAAAAAAUUUGAUUUUUUCCCAUAGGAAUGCAUGGGUUAGGGUUAGGGUUAGGGUUGGAGCUAGGGUUAGGGUUAGGGUUAGGGUUGGAGUUAGGGUUAGUGUUGGAGCUAGGGUUAGGGUUUGGCUUGGAGCUAGGAUUUUUCUGAGUGCACUGAACCAACUCCCGAGUCUCUAGGACAUUCCUAAAAAAAUUUGAGUUUUUCCCAUAGGAAUGCAUGGGUUAGGGUUAGGGUUAGGGUUGGAGCUAGGGUUAGGGUUAGGGUUAGGGUUGGAGUUAGGGUUAGUGUUGGAGCUAGGGUUAGGGUUGGGCUUGGAGCUAGGAUUUUUCUGAGUGCACUGAACCAACUCCCGAGUCUCUAGGACAUUCCUAAAAAAAUUUGAUUUUUUCCCAUAGGAAUGCAUGGGUUAGGGUUAUGGUUAGGGUUAGGGUUGGAGCUAGGGUUAGGGUUAGGGUUAGGGUUGGAGUUAGGGUUAGUGUUGGAGCUAGGGUUAGGGUUGGGCUUGGAGCUAGGAUUUUUCUGAGUGCACUGAACCAACUCCCGAGUCUCUAGGACAUUCCUAAAAAAAUUUGAUUUUUUCCCAUAGGAAUGCAUGGGUUAGGGUUAUGGUUAGGGUUAGGGUUGGAGCUAGGGUUAGGGUUAGGGUUAGGGUUGGAGUUAGGGUUAGUGUUGGAGCUAGGGUUAGGGUUGGGCUUGGAGCUAGGAUUUUUCUGAGUGCACUGAACCAACUCCCGAGUCUCUAGGAUGUUCCUAAAAAAAUUUGAUUUUUUCCCAUAGGAAUGCAUGGGUUAGGGUUAGGGUUAGGGUUGGAGCUAGGGUUAGGGUUAGGGUUAGGGUUGGGGUUAGUGUUAGUGAGAGCUAGGGUUAGGGUUGGGCUUGGAGCUAGGAUUUUUCUGAGUGCACUGAACCAACUCCCGAGUCUCUAGGACAUUCCUAAAAAAAUUUGAUUUUUUCCCAUAGGAAUGCAUGGGUUAGGGUUAGGGUUAGGGUUGGAGCUAGGGUUAGGGUUAGGGUUGGAGUUAGGGUUAGUGUUGGAGCUAGGGUUAGGGUUGGGCUUGGAGCUAGGAUUUUUCUGAGUGCACUGAACCAACUCCCGAGUCUCUAGGACAUUCCUAAAAAAAUUUGAUUUUUUCCCAUAGGAAUGCAUGGGUUAGGGUUAUGGUUAGGGUUAGGGUUGGAGCUAGGGUUAGGGUUAGGGUUAGGGUUGGAGUUAGGGUUAGUGUUGGAGCUAGGGUUAGGGUUGGGCUUGGAGCUAGGAUUUUUCUGAGUGCACUGAACCAACUCCCGAGUCUCUAGGACAUUCCUAAAAAAAUUUGAGUUUUUCCCAUAGGAAUGCAUGGGUUAGGUUAGGGUUAGGGUUGGAGCUAGGGUUAGGGUUAGGGUUAGGGUUGGAGUUAGGGUUAGUGUUGGAGCUAGGGUUAGGGUUGGGCUUGGAGCUAGGAUUUUUCUGAGUGCACUGAACCAACUCCCGAGUCUCUAGGACAUUCCUAAAAAAAAUUUGAUUUUUUCCCAUAGGAAUGCAUGGGUUAGGGUUAUGGUUAGGGUUAGGGUUGGAGCUAGGGUUAGGGUUAGGGUUAGGGUUGGAGUUAGGGUUAGUGUUGGAGCUAGGGUUAGGGUUGGGCUUGGAGCUAGGAUUUUUCUGAGUGCACUGAACCAACUCCCGAGUCUCUAGGACAUUCCUAAAAAAAUUUGAUUUUUUCCCAUAGGAAUGCAUGGGUUAGGGUUAGGGUUAGGGUUAGGGUUGGAGCUAGGGUUAGGGUUAGGGUUAGGGUUAGGGUUAGGGUUGGAGUUAGGGUUAGUGUUGGAGCUAGGGUUAGGGUUGGGCUUGGAGCUAGGAUUUUUCUGAGUGCACUGAACCAACUCCCGAGUCUCUAGGACAUUCCUAAAAAAAUUUGAUUUUUUCCCAUAGGAAUGCAUGGGUUAGGGUUAUGGUUAGGGUUAGGGUUGGAGCUAGGGUUAGGGUUAGGGUUAGGGUUGGAGUUAGGGUUAGUGUUGGAGCUAGGGUUAGGGUUGGGCUUGGAGCUAGGAUUUUUCUGAGUGCACUGAACCAACUCCCGAGUCUCUAGGAUGUUCCUAAAAAAAUUUGAUUUUUUCCCAUAGGAAUGCAUGGGUUAGGGUUAGGGUUAGGGUUGGAGCUAGGGUUAGGGUUAGGGUUAGGGUUGGAGUUAGGGUUAGUGUUGGAGCUAGGGUUAGGGUUGGGCUUGGAGCUAGGAUUUUUCUGAGUGCACUGAACCAACUCCCGAGUCUCUAGGACAUUCCUAAAAAAAUUUGAUUUUUUCCCAUAGGAAUGCAUGGGUUAGGGUUAUGGUUAGGGUUAGGGUUGGAGCUAGGGUUAGGGUUAGGGUUAGGGUUGGAGUUAGGGUUAGUGUUGGAGCUAGGGUUAGGGUUGGGCUUGGAGCUAGGAUUUUUCUGAGUGCACUGAACCAACUCCCGAGUCUCUAGGACAUUCCUAAAAAAAUUUGAUUUUUUUCCCAUAGGAAUGCAUGGGUUAGGGUUAUGGUUAGGGUUAGGGUUGGAGCUAGGGUUAGGGUUAGGGUUAGGGUUGGAGUUAGGGUUAGUGUUGGAGCUAGGGUUAGGGUUGGGCUUGGAGCUAGGAUUUUUCUGAGUGCACUGAACCAACUCCCGAGUCUCUAGGACAUUCCUAAAAAAAUUUGAUUUUUUCCCAUAGGAAUGCAUGGGUUAGGGUUAUGGUUAGGGUUAGGGUUGGAGCUAGGGUUAGGGUUAGGGUUAGGGUUGGAGUUAGGGUUAGUGUUGGAGCUAGGGUUAGGGUUGGGCUUGGAGCUAGGAUUUUUUGAGUGCAAUGAACCAACUCCCGAGUCUCUAGGACGUUCCUAAAAAAAUUUGAUUUUUUCCCAUAGGAAUGCAUGGGUUAGGGUUAUGGUUAGGGUUAGGGUUGGAGCUAGGGUUAGGGUUAGGGUUAGGGUUGGAGUUAGGGUUAGUGUUGGAGCUAGGGUUAGGGUUGGGCUUGGAGCUAGGAUUUUUCUGAGUGCACUGAACCAACUCCCGAGUCUCUAGGACGUUCCUAAAAAAAUUUGAUUUUUUCCCAUAGGAAUGCAUGGGUUGGGUUAGGGUUAGGGUUAGGGUUGGAGCUAGGGUUAGGGUUAGGGUUAGGGUUGGAGUUAGGGUUAGUGUUGGAGCUAGGGUUAGGGUUGGGCUUGGAGCUAGGAUUUUUCUGAGUGCACUGAACCAACUCCCGAGUCUCUAGGACAUUCCUAAAAAAAUUUGAUUUUUUCCCAUAGGAAUGCAUGGGUUAGGGUUAGGGUUAGGGUUGGAGCUAGGGUUAGGGUUAGGGUUAGGGUUGGAGUUAGGGUUAGUGUUGGAGCUAGGGUUAGGGUUGGGCUUGGAGCUAGGAUUUUUCUGAGUGCAAUGAACCAACUCCCGAGUCUCUAGGACGUUCCUAAAAAAAUUUGAUUUUUUCCCAUAGGAAUGCAUGGGUUAUGGUUAGGGUUAGGGUUGGAGCUAGGGUUAGGGUUAGGUUUAGGGUUGGAGUUAGGGUUAGUGUUGGAGCUAGGGUUAGGGUUGGGCUUGGAGCUAGGAUUUUUCUGAGUGCACUGAACCAACUCCCGAGUCUCUAGGACAUUCCUAAAAAAAUUUGAUUUUUUCCCAUAGGAAUGCAUGGGUUAGGCUUAUGGUUAGGGUUAGGGUUGGAGCUAGGGUUAGGGUUAGGGUUAGGGUUGGAGUUAGGGUUAGUGUUGGAGCUAGGGUUAGGGUUGGGCUUGGAGCUAGGAUUUUUCUGAGUGCAACUGAACCAACUCCCGAGUCUCUUGGACGUUCCUAAAAAAAUUUGAUUUUUUCCCAUAGGAAUGCAUGGGUUAGGGUUAGGGUUAGGGUUGGAGCUAGGGUUAGGGUUAGGGUUAGGGUUGGAGUUAGGGUUAGUGUUGGAGCUAGGGUUAGGGUUGGGCUUGGAGCUAGGAUUUUUCUGAGUGCACUGAACCAACUCCCGAGUCUCUAGGACGUUCCUAAAAAAAUUUGAUUUUUUCCCAUAGGAAUGCAUGGGUUAGGGUUAUGGUUAGGGUUAGGGUUGGAGCUAGGGUUAGGGUUAGGGUUAGGGUUGGAGUUAGGGUUAGUGUUGGAGCUAGGGUUAGGGUUGGGCUUGGAGCUAGGAUUUUUCUGAGUGCAAUGAACCAACUCCCGAGUCUCUUGGACGUUCCUAAAAAAAUUUGAUUUUUUCCCAUAGGAAUGCAUGGGUUAGGGUUAGGGUUAGGGUUGGAGCUAGGGUUAGGGUUAGGGUUAGGGUUGGAGUUAGGGUUAGUGUUGGAGCUAGGGUUAGGGUUGGGCUUGGAGCUAGGAUUUUUCUGAGUGCAAUGAACCAACUCCCGAGUCUCUAGGACGUUCCUAAAAAAAUUUGAUUUUUUCCCAUAGGAAUGCAUGGGUUAGGGUUAGGGUUAGGGUUGGAGCUAGGGUUAGGGUUAGGUUUAGGGUUGGAGUUAGGGUUAGUGUUGGAGCUAGGGUUAGGGUUGGGCUUGGAGCUAGGAUUUUUCUGAGUGCACUGAACCAACUCCCGAGUCUCUAGGACAUUCCUAAAAAAAUUUGAUUUUUUCCCAUAGGAAUGCAUGGUUUAGGGUUAUGGUUAGGGUUAGGGUUGGAGCUAGGGUUAGGGUUAGGGUUAGGGUUGGAGUUAGGGUUAGUGUUGGAGCUAGGGUUAGGGUUGCGCUUGGAGCUAGGACUUUUCUGAGUGCAAUGAACCAACUCCCGAGUCUCUAGGAUGUUCCCUUAAAAAAAAUUGAUUUUUUCCCAUAGGAAUGCAUGGGUUAGGGUUAGGGUUAGGGUUGGAGCUAGGGUUAGGGUUAGGGUUAGGGUUGGAGUUAGGGUUCGUGUUGGAGCUAGGGUUAGGGUUGGGCUUGGAGCUAGGAUUUUUCUGAGUGCACUGAACCAACUCCCGAGUCUCUAGGACAUUCCUAAAAAAAUUUGAUUUUUUCCCAUAGGAAUGCAUGGGUUAGGGUUAUGGUUAGGGUUAGGGUUGGAGCUAGGGUUAGGGUUAGGGUUAGGGUUGGAGUUAGGGUUAGUGUUGGAGCUAGGGUUAGGGUUGGGCUUGGAGCUAGGACUUUUCUGAGUGCAAUGAACCAACUCCCGAGUCUCUAGGACGUUCCUAAAAAAAAUUGAUUUUUUCCCAUAGGAAUGCAUGGGUUAGGGUUAGGGUUAGGGUUGGAGCUAGGGUUAGGGUUAGGGUUAGGGUUGGAGUUAGGGUUAGUGUUGGAGCUAGGGUUAGGGUUGGGCUUGGAGCUAGGAUUUUUCUGAGUGCACUGAACCAACUCCCGAGUCUCUAGGACGUUCCUAAAAAAAUUUGAUUUUUUCCCAUAGGAAUGCAUGGGUUAGGGUUAGGGUUAGGGUUGGAGCUAGGGUUAGGGUUAGGGUUAGGGUUAGGGUUGGAGUUAGGGUUAGUGUUGGAGCUAGGGUUAGGGUUGGGCUUGGAGCUAGGAUUUUUCUGAGUGCACUGAACCAACUCCCGAGUCUCUAGGAUAUUCCUAAAAAAAUUUGAUUUUUUCCCAUAGGAAUGCAUGGGUUAGGGUUAGGGUUAGGGUUGGAGCUAGGGUUAGGGUUAGGGUUAGGGUUGGAGUUAGGGUUAGUGUUGGAGCUAUGGUUAGGGUUGGGCUUGGAGCUAGGAUUUUUCUGAGUGCACUGAACCAACUCCCGAGUCUCUAGGACAUUCCUAAAAAAUUUUGAUUUUUUCCCAUAGGAAUGCAUGGGUUAGGGUUAUGGUUAGGGUUAGGGUUGGAGCUAGGGUUAGGGUUAGGGUUAGGGUUGGAGUUAGGGUUAGUGUUGGAGCUAGGGUUAGGGUUGGGCUUGGAGCUAGGAUUUUUCUGAGUGCACUGAACCAACUCCCGAGUCUCUAGGACAUUCCUAAAAAAAUUUGAUUUUUUUCCCAUAGGAAUGCAUGGGUUAGGGUUAGGGUUAGGGUUGGAGCUAGGGUUAGGGUUAGGGUUAGGGUUGGAGUUAGGGUUAGUGUUGGAGCUAGGGUUAGGGUUGGGCUUGGAGCUAGGAUUUUUCUGAGUGCACUGAACCAACUCCCGAGUCUCUAGGACAUUCCUAAAAAAAUUUGAUUUUUUCCCAUAGGAAUGCAUGGGUUAGGGUUAGGGUUAGGGUUGGAGCUAGGGUUAGGGUUAGGGUUAGGGUUAGGGUUGGAGUUAGGGUUAGUGUUGGAGCUAGGGUUAGGGUUGGGCUUGGAGCUAGGAUUUUUCUGAGUGCACUGAACCAACUCCCGAGUCUCUAGGACAUUCCUAAAAAAAUUUGAUUUUUUCCCAUAGGAAUGCAUGGGUUAGGGUUAUGGUUAGGGUUAGGGUUGGAGCUAGGGUUAGGGUUAGGGUUAGGGUUGGAGUUAGGGUUAGUGUUGGAGCUAGGGUUAGGGUUGGGCUUGGAGCUAGGAUUUUUCUGAGUGCAAUGAACCAACUCCCGAGUCUCUAGGACGUUCCUAAAAAAAUUUGAUUUUUUCCCAUAGGAAUGCAUGGGUUAGGGUUAGGGUUAGGGUUGGAGCUAGGGUUAGGGUUAGGGUUAGGGUUGGAGUUAGGGUUAGUGUUGGAGCUAGGGUUAGGGUUGGGCUUGGAGCUAGGAUUUUUCUGAGUGCACUGAACCAACUCCCGAGUCUCUAGGACAUUCCUAAAAAAAAUUGAUUUUUUCCCAUAGGAAUGCAUGGGUUAGGGUUAUGGUUAGGGUUAGGGUUGGAGCUAGGGUUAGGGUUAGGGUUAGGGUUGGAGUUAGGGUUAGUGUUGGAGCUAGGGUUAGGGUUGGGCUUGGAGCUAGGACUUUUCUGAGUGCAAUGAACCAACUCCCGAGUCUCUAGGACGUUCCCUAAAAAAAUUUGAUUUUUUCCCAUAGGAAUGCAUGGGUUAGGGUUAGGGUUAGGGUUGGAGCUAGGGUUAGGGUUAGGGUUAGGGUUGGAGUUAGGGUUAGUGUUGGAGCUAGGGUUAGGGUUGGGCUUGGAGCUAGGAUUUUUCUGAGUGCACUGAACCAACUCCCGAGUCUCUAGGACAUUCCUAAAAAAAUUUGAUUUUUUCCCAUAGGAAUGCAUGGGUUAGGGUUAUGGUUAGGGUUAGGGUUGGAGCUAGGGUUAGGGUUAGGGUUAGGGUUGGAGUUAGGGUUAGUGUUGGAGCUAGGGUUAGGGUUGGGCUUGGAGCUAGGAUUUUUCUGAGUGCAUGAACCAACUCCCGAGUCUCUAGGACGUUCCUAAAAAAAUUUGAUUUUUUCCCAUAGGAAUGCAUGGGUUAGGGUUAUGGUUAGGGUUGGAGCUAGGGUUAGGGUUAGGGUUAGGGUUGGAGUUAGGGUUAGUGUUGGAGCUAGGGUUAGGGUUGGGCUUGGAGCUAGGAUUUUUCUGAGUGCACUGAACCAACUCCCGAGUCUCUAGGACAUUCCUAAAAAAAUUUGAUUUUUUCCCAUAGGAAUGCAUGGGUUAGGGUUAGGGUUAGGGUUGGAGCUAGGGUUAGGGUUAGGGUUAGGGUUGGAGUUAGGGUUAGUGUUGGAGCUAGGGUUAGGGUUGGGCUUGGAGCUAGGAUUUUUCUGAGUGCAAUGAACCAACUCCCGAGUCUCUAGGACGUUCCUAAAAAAAUUUGAUUUUUUCCCAUAGGAAUGCAUGGGUUAGGGUUAGGGUUAGGGUUGGAGCUAGGGUUAGGGUUAGGGUUAGGGUUGGAGUUAGGGUUAGUGUUGGAGCUAGGGUUAGGGUUGGGCUUGGAGCUAGGAUUUUUCUGAGUGCACUGAACCAACUCCCGAGUCUCUAGGACAUUCCUAAAAAAAUUUGAUUUUUUCCCAUAGGAAUGCAUGGGUUAGGGUUAUGGUUAGGGUUAGGGUUGGAGCUAGGGUUAGGGUUAGGGUUAGGGUUGGAGUUAGGGUUAGUGUUGGAGCUAGGGUUAGGGUUGGGCUUGGAGCUAGGACUUUUCUGAGUGCAAUGAACCAACUCCCGAGUCUCUAGGACGUUCCCUAAAAAAAUUUGAUUUUUUCCCAUAGGAAUGCAUGGGUUAGGGUUAGGGUUAGGGUUGGAGCUAGGGUUAGGGUUAGGGUUAGGGUUGGAGUUAGGGUUAGUGUUGGAGCUAGGGUUAGGGUUGGGCUUGGAGCUAGGAUUUUUCUGAGUGCACUGAACCAACUCCCGAGUCUCUAGGACAUUCCUAAAAAAAUUUGAUUUUUUCCCAUAGGAAUGCAUGGGUUAGGGUUAGGGUUAGGGUUGGAGCUAGGGUUAGGGUUAGGGUUAGGGUUGGAGUUAGGGUUAGUGUUGGAGCUAGGGUUAGGGUUGGGCUUGGAGCUAGGAUUUUUCUGAGUCCAGUGAACCAACUCCCGAGUCUCUAGGACAUUCCUAAAAAAAUUUGAUUUUUUCCCAUAGGAAUGCAUGGGUUAGGGUUAGGGUUAGGGUUGGAGCUAGGGUUAGGGUUAGGGUUAGGGUUGGAGUUAGGGUUAGUGUUGGAGCUAGGGUUAGGGUUGGGCUUGGAGCUAGGAUUUUUCUGAGUGCACUGAACCAACUCCCGAGUCUCUAGGACAUUCCUAAAAAAAUUUGAUUUUUUCCCAUAGGAAUGCAUGGUUUAGGGUUAUGGUUAGGGUUAGGGUUGGAGCUAGGGUUAGGGUUAGGGUUAGGGUUGGAGUUAGGGUUAGUGUUGGAGCUAGGGUUAGGGUUGGGCUUGGAGCUAGGACUUUUCUGAGUGCAAUGAACCAACUCCCGAGUCUCUAGGACGUUCCAAAAAAAAAUUUGAUUUUUUCCCAUAGGAAUGCAUGGGUUAGGGUUAGGGUUAGGGUUGGAGCUAGGGUUAGGGUUAGGGUUAGGGUUGGAGUUAGGGUUAGUGUUGGAGCUAGGGUUAGGGUUGGGCUUGGAGCUAGGAUUUUUCUGAGUGCACUGAACCAACUCCCGAGUCUCUAGGACGUUCCUAAAAAAAUUUGAUUUUUUCCCAUAGGAAUGCAUGGGUUAGGGUUAGGGUUAGGGUUGGAGCUAGGGUUAGGGUUAGGGUUAGGGUUGGAGUUAGGGUUAGUGUUGGAGCUAGGGUUAGGGUUGGGCUUGGAGCUAGGAUUUUUCUGAGUGCACUGAACCAACUCCCGAGUCUCUAGGACAUUCCUAAAAAAAUUUGAGUUUUUCCCAUAGGAAUGCAUGGGUUAGGGUUAGGGUUAGGGUUGGAGCUAGGGUUAGGGUUAGGGUUAGGGUUGGAGUUAGGGUUAGUGUUGGAGCUAGGGUUAGGGUUGGGCUUGGAGCUAGGAUUUUUCUGAGUGCACUGAACCAACUCCCGAGUCUCUAGGACAUUCCUAAAAAAAUUUGAUUUUUUCCCAUAGGAAUGCAUGGGUUAGGGUUAGGGUUAGGGUUGGAGCUAGGGUUAGGGUUAGGGUUAGGGUUGGAGUUAGGGUUAGUGUUGGAGCUAGGGUUAGGGUUGGGCUUGGAGCUAGGAUUUUUCUGAGUGCAAUGAACCAACUCCCGAGUCUCUUGGACGUUCCUAAAAAAAUUUGAUUUUUUCCCAUAGGAAUGCAUGGGUUAGGGUUAGGGUUAGGGUUGGAGCUAGGGUUAGGGUUAGGGUUAGGGUUGGAGUUAGGGUUAGUGUUGGAGCUAGGGUUAGGGUUGGGCUUGGAGCUAGGAUUUUUCUGAGUGCACUGAACCAACUCCCGAGUCUCUAGGACGUUCCUAAAAAAAUUUGAUUUUUUCCCAUAGGAAUGCAUGGGUUAGGGUUAGGGUUAGGGUUGGAGCUAGGGUUAGGGUUAGGGUUAGGGUUGGAGUUAGGGUUAGUGUUGGAGCUAGGGUUAGGGUUGGGCUUGGAGCUAGGAUUUUUCUGAGUGCACUGAACCAACUCCCGAGUCUCUAGGACGUUCCUAAAAAAAUUUGAUUUUUUCCCAUAGGAAUGCAUGGGUUAGGGUUAGGGUUAGGGUUGGAGCUAGGGUUAGGGUUAGGGUUAGGGUUGGAGUUAGGGUUAGUGUUGGAGCUAGGGUUAGGGUUGGGCUUGGAGCUAGGAUUUUUCUGAGUGCACUGAACCAACUCCCGAGUCUCUAGGACAUUCCUAAAAAAAUUUGAUUUUUCCCAUAGGAAUGCAUGGGUUAGGGUUAGGGUUAGGGUUGGAGCUAGGGUUAGGGUUAGGGUUAGGGUUGGAGUUAGGGUUAGUGUUGGAGCUAGGGUUAGGGUUGGGCUUGGAGCUAGGAUUUUUCUGAGUGCACUGAACCAACUCCCGAGUCUCUAGGACAUUCCUAAAAAAAUUUGAUUUUUUUCCCAUAGGAAUGCAUGGGUUAGGGUUAGGGUUAGGGUUAGGGUUGGAGCUAGGGUUAGGGUUAGGGUUAGGGUUGGAGUUAGGGUUAGUGUUGGAGCUAGGGUUAGGGUUGGGCUUGGAGCUAGGAUUUUUCUGAGUGCACUGAACCAACUCCCGAGUCUCUAGGACGUUCCUAAAAAAAUUUGAUUUUUUCCCAUAGGAAUGCAUGGGUUAGGGUUAGGGUUAGGGUUGGAGCUAGGGUUAGGGUUAGGGUUAGGGUUGGAGUUAGGGUUAGUGUUGGAGCUAGGGUUAGGGUUGGGCUUGGAGCUAGGAUUUUUCUGAGUGCACUGAACCAACUCCCGAGUCUCUAGGACGUUCCUAAAAAAAUUUGAUUUUUUCCCAUAGGAAUGCAUGGGUUAGGGUUAGGGUUAGGGUUGGAGCUAGGGUUAGGGUUAGGGUUAGGGUUGGAGUUAGGGUUAGUGUUGGAGCUAGGGUUAGGGUUGGGCUUGGAGCUAGGAUUUUUCUGAGUGCACUGAACCAACUCCCGAGUCUCUAGGACAUUCCUAAAAAAAUUUGAUUUUUUCCCAUAGGAAUGCAUGGGUUAGGGUUAGGGUUAGGGUUGGAGCUAGGGUUAGGGUUAGGGUUAGGGUUGGAGUUAGGGUUAGUGUUGGAGCUAGGGUUAGGGUUGGGCUUGGAGCUAGGAUUUUUCUGAGUGCACUGAACCAACUCCCGAGUCUCUAGGACAUUCCUAAAAAAAUUUGAUUUUUUCCCAUAGGAAUGCAUGGGUUAGGGUUAUGGUUAGGGUUAGGGUUGGAGCUAGGGUUAGGGUUAGGGUUAGGGUUGGAGUUAGGGUUAGUGUUGGAGCUAGGGUUAGGGUUGGGCUUGGAGCUAGGAUUUUUCUGAGUGCACUGAACCAACUCCCGAGUCUCUAGGACAUUCCUAAAAAAAUUUGAUUUUUUCCCAUAGGAAUGCAUGGGUUAGGGUUAGGGUUAGGGUUGGAGCUAGGGUUAGGGUUAGGGUUAGGGUUGGAGUUAGGGUUAGUGUUGGAGCUAGGGUUAGGGUUGGGCUUGGAGCUAGGAUUUUUCUGAGUGCACUGAACCAACUCCCGAGUCUCUAGGACAUUCCUAAAAAAAUUUGAUUUUUUCCCAUAGGAAUGCAUGGGUUAGGGUUAUGGUUAGGGUUGGAGCUAGGGUUAGGGUUAGGGUUAGGGUUGGAGUUAGGGUUAGUGUUGGAGCUAGGGUUAGGGUUGGGCUUGGAGCUAGGAUUUUUCUGAGUGCACUGAACCAACUCCCGAGUCUCUAGGACAUUCCUAAAAAAAUUUGAUUUUUUCCCAUAGGAAUGCAUGGGUUAGGGUUAGGGUUAGGGUUGGAGCUAGGGUUAGGGUUAGGGUUAGGGUUGGAGUUAGGGUUAGUGUUGGAGCUAGGGUUAGGGUUGGGCUUGGAGCUAGGAUUUUUCUGAGUGCACUGAACCAACUCCCGAGUCUCUAGGACAUUCCUAAAAAAAUUUGAUUUUUUCCCAUAGGAAUGCAUGGGUUAGGGUUAUGGUUAGGGUUAGGGUUGGAGCUAGGGUUAGGGUUAGGGUUAGGGUUGGAGUUAGGGUUAGUGUUGGAGCUAGGGUUAGGGUUGGGCUUGGAGCUAGGACUUUUCUGAGUGCAAUGAACCAACUCCCGAGUCUCUAGGACAUUCCUAAAAAAAUUGAUUUUUUCCCAUAGGAAUGCAUGGGUUAGGGUUAUGGUUAGGGUUAGGGUUGGAGCUAGUGUUAGGGUUAGGGUUAGGGUUAGGGUUAGGGUUGGAGUUAGGGUUAGUGUUGGAGCUAGGGUUAGGGUUGGGCUUGGAGCUAGGAUUUUUCUGAGUGCACUGAACCAACUCCCGAGUCUCUAGGACAUUCCUAAAAAAAUUUGAUUUUUUCCCAUAGGAAUGCAUGGGUUAGGGUUAUGGUUAGGGUUAGGGUUGGAGCUAGGGUUAGGGUUAGGGUUAGGGUUGGAGUUAGGGUUAGUGUUGGAGCUAGGGUUAGGGUUGGGCUUGGAGCUAGGAUUUUUCUGAGUGCACUGAACCAACUCCCGAGUCUCUAGGACAUUCCUAAAAAAAUUUGAUUUUUUCCCAUAGGAAUGCAUGGGUUAGGGUUAGGGUUAGGGUUGGAGCUAGGGUUAGGGUUAGGGUUAGGGUUGGAGUUAGGGUUAGUGUUGGAGCUAGGGUUAGGGUUGGGCUUGGAGCUAGGAUUUUUCUGAGUGCACUGAACCAACUCCCGAGUCUCUAGGACAUUCCUAAAAAAAUUUGAUUUUUUCCCAUAGGAAUGCAUGGGUUAGGGUUAGGGUUAGGGUUGGAGCUAGGGUUAGGGUUAGGGUUAGGGUUGGAGUUAGGGUUAGUGUUGGAGCUAGGGUUAGGGUUGGGCUUGGAGCUAGGAUUUUUCUGAGUGCACUGAACCAACUCCCGAGUCUCUAGGACAUUCCUAAAAAAAUUUGAUUUUUUUCCCAUAGGAAUGCAUGGGUUAGGGUUAUGGUUAGGGUUAGGGUUGGAGCUAGGGUUAGGGUUAGGGUUAGGGUUGGAGUUAGGGUUAGUGUUGGAGCUAGGGUUAGGGUUGGGCUUGGAGCUAGGAUUUUUCUGAGUGCAAUGAACCAACUCCCGAGUCUCUAGGACGUUCCUAAAAAAAUUUGAUUUUUUCCCAUAGGAAUGCAUGGGUUAGGGUUAGGGUUAGGGUUGGAGCUAGGGUUAGGGUUAGGGUUAGGGUUGGAGUUAGGGUUAGUGUUGGAGCUAGGGUUAGGGUUGGGCUUGGAGCUAGGAUUUUUCUGAGUGCACUGAACCAACUCCCGAGUCUCUAGGACGUUCCUAAAAAAAUUUGAUUUUUUCCCAUAGGAAUGCAUGGGUUAGGGUUAGGGUUAGGGUUGGAGCUAGGGUUAGGGUUAGGGUUAGGGUUGGAGUUAGGGUUAGUGUUGGAGCUAGGGUUAGGGUUGGGCUUGGAGCUAGGAUUUUUCUGAGUGCACUGAACCAACUCCCGAGUCUCUAGGACAUUCCUAAAAAAAUUUGAUUUUUUCCCAUAGGAAUGCAUGGGUUAGGGUUAGGGUUAGGGUUGGAGCUAGGGUUAGGGUUAGGGUUAGGGUUGGAGUUAGGGUUAGUGUUGGAGCUAGGGUUAGGGUUGGGCUUGGAGCUAGGAUUUUUCUGAGUGCACUGAACCAACUCCCGAGUCUCUAGGACAUUCCUAAAAAAAUUUGAUUUUUUCCCAUAGGAAUGCAUGGGUUAGGGUUAUGGUUAGGGUUAGGGUUGGAGCUAGGGUUAGGGUUAGGGUUAGGGUUGGAGUUAGGGUUAGUGUUGGAGCUAGGGUUAGGGUUGGGCUUGGAGCUAGGAUUUUUCUGAGUGCACUGAACCAACUCCCGAGUCUCUAGGACAUUCCUAAAAAAAAUUUGAUUUUUUCCCAUAGGAAUGCAUGGGUUAGGGUUAUGGUUAGGGUUAGGGUUGGAGCUAGGGUUAGGGUUAGGGUUAGGGUUGGAGUUAGGGUUAGUGUUGGAGCUAGGGUUAGGGUUGGGCUUGGAGCUAGGAUUUUUCUGAGUGCAAUGAACCAACUCCCGAGUCUCUUGGACGUUCCUAAAAAAAUUUGAUUUUUUCCCAUAGGAAUGCAUGGGUUAGGGUUAGGGUUAGGGUUGGAGCUAGGGUUAGGGUUAGGGUUAGGGUUGGAGUUAGGGUUAGUGUUGGAGCUAGGGUUAGGGUUGGGCUUGGAGCUAGGAUUUUUCUGAGUGCAAUGAACCAACUCCCGAGUCUCUAGGACGUUCCUAAAAAAAUUUGAUUUUUUUCCCAUAGGAAUGCAUGGGUUAGGGUUAUGGUUAGGGUUGGAGCUAGGGUUAGGGUUAGGGUUAGGGUUGGAGUUAGGGUUAGUGUUGGAGCUAGGGUUAGGGUUGGGCUUGGAGCUAGGAUUUUUCUGAGUGCACUGAACCAACUCCCGAGUCUCUAGGACGUUCCUAAAAAAAUUUGAUUUUUUCCCAUAGGAAUGCAUGGGUUAGGGUUAGGGUUAGGGUUGGAGCUAGGGUUAGGGUUAGGGUUAGGGUUGGAGUUAGGGUUAGUGUUGGAGCUAGGGUUAGGGUUGGGCUUGGAGCUAGGAUUUUUCUGAGUGCACUGAACCAACUCCCGAGUCUCUAGGACAUUCCUAAAAAAUUUGAUUUUUUUCCCAUAGGAAUGCAUGGGUUAGGGUUAUGGUUAGGGUUAGGGUUGGAGCUAGGGUUAGGGUUAGGGUUAGGGUUGGAGUUAGGGUUAGUGUUGGAGCUAGGGUUAGGGUUGGGCUUGGAGCUAGGACUUUUCUGAGUGCAAUGAACCAACUCCCGAGUCUCUAGGACAUUCCUAAAAAAAUUUGAUUUUUUCCCAUAGGAAUGCAUGGGUUAGGGUUAUGGUUAGGGUUAGGGUUGGAGCUAGGGUUAGGGUUAGGGUUAGGGUUAGGGUUGGAGUUAGGGUUAGUGUUGGAGCUAGGGUUAGGGUUGGGCUUGGAGCUAGGAUUUUUCUGAGUGCACUGAACCAACUCCCGAGUCUCUAGGACAUUCCUAAAAAAAUUUGAUUUUUUCCCAUAGGAAUGCAUGGGUUAGGGUUAGGGUUAGGGUUAGGGUUGGAGCUAGGGUUAGGGUUAGGGUUGGAGUUAGGGUUAGUGUUGGAGCUAGGGUUAGGGUUGGGCUUGGAGCUAGGAUUUUUCUGAGUGCAAUGAACCAACUCCCGAGUCUCUAGGACGUUCCUAAAAAAAUUUGAUUUUUUCCCAUAGGAAUGCAUGGGUUAGGGUUAGGGUUAGGGUUGGAGCUAGGGUUAGGGUUAGGGUUAGGGUUGGAGUUAGGGUUAGUGUUGGAGCUAGGGUUAGGGUUGGGCUUGGAGCUAGGAUUUUUCUGAGUGCACUGAACCAACUCCCGAGUCUCUAGGACAUUCCUAAAAAAAUUUGAUUUUUUCCCAUAGGAAUGCAUGGGUUAGGGUUAGGGUUAGGGUUGGAGCUAGGGUUAGGGUUAGGGUUAGGGUUGGAGUUAGGGUUAGUGUUGGAGCUAGGGUUAGGGUUGGGCUUGGAGCUAGGAUUUUUCUGAGUGCACUGAACCAACUCCCGAGUCUCUAGGACAUUCCUAAAAAAAUUUGAUUUUUUCCCAUAGGAAUGCAUGGGUUAGGGUUAGGGUUAGGGUUGGAGCUAGGGUUAGGGUUAGGGUUAGGGUUGGAGUUAGGGUUAGUGUUGGAGCUAGGGUUAGGGUUGGGCUUGGAGCUAGGAUUUUUCUGAGUGCACUGAACCAACUCCCGAGUCUCUAGGACAUUCCUAAAAAAAUUUGAUUUUUUCCCAUAGGAAUGCAUGGGUUAGGGUUAUGGUUAGGGUUAGGGUUGGAGCUAGGGUUAGGGUUAGGGUUAGGGUUGGAGUUAGGGUUAGUGUUGGAGCUAGGGUUAGGGUUGGGCUUGGAGCUAGGAUUUUUCUGAGUGCACUGAACCAACUCCCGAGUCUCUAGGACAUUCCUAAAAAAAUUUGAUUUUUUCCCAUAGGAAUGCAUGGGUUAGGGUUAUGGUUAGGGUUAGGGUUGGAGCUAGGGUUAGGGUUAGGGUUAGGGUUGGAGUUAGGGUUAGUGUUGGAGCUAGGGUUAGGGUUGGGCUUGGAGCUAGGACUUUUCUGAGUGCAAUGAACCAACUCCCGAGUCUCUAGGACGUUCCUAAAAAAAUUUGAUUUUUUCCCAUAGGAAUGCAUGGGUUAGGGUUAGGGUUAGGGUUGGAGCUAGGGUUAGGGUUAGGGUUAGGGUUGGAGUUAGGGUUAGUGUUGGAGCUAGGGUUAGGGUUGGGCUUGGAGCUAGGAUUUUUCUGAGUGCACUGAACCAACUCCCGAGUCUCUAGGACAUUCCUAAAAAAAUUUGAUUUUUUCCCAUAGGAAUGCAUGGGUUAGGGUUAGGGUUAGGGUUGGAGCUAGGGUUAGGGUUAGGGUUAGGGUUGGAGUUAGGGUUAGUGUUGGAGCUAGGGUUAGGGUUGGGCUUGGAGCUAGGAUUUUUCUGAGUGCACUGAACCAACUCCCGAGUCUCUAGGACAUUCCUAAAAAAAUUUGAUUUUUUCCCAUAGGAAUGCAUGGGUUAGGGUUAUGGUUAGGGUUAGGGUUGGAGCUAGGGUUAGGGUUAGGGUUAGGGUUGGAGUUAGGGUUAGUGUUGGAGCUAGGGUUAGGGUUGGGCUUGGAGCUAGGACUUUUCUGAGUGCAAUGAACCAACUCCCGAGUCUCUUGGACGUUCCCUAAAAAAUUUGAUUUUUUCCCAUAGGAAUGCAUGGGUUAGGGUUAGGGUUAGGGUUGGAGCUAGGGUUAGGGUUAGGGUUAGGGUUGGAGUUAGGGUUAGUGUUGGAGCUAGGGUUAGGGUUGGGCUUGGAGCUAGGAUUUUUCUGAGUGCACUGAACCAACUCCCGAGUCUCUAGGACAUUCCUAAAAAAAUUUGAUUUUUUCCCAUAGGAAUGCAUGGGUUAGGGUUAUGGUUAGGGUUGGAGCUAGGGUUAGGGUUAGGGUUAGGGUUGGAGUUAGGGUUAGUGUUGGAGCUAGGGUUAGGGUUGGGCUUGGAGCUAGGAUUUUUCUGAGUGCAAUGAACCAACUCCCGAGUCUCUAGGACAUUCCUAAAAAAAUUUGAUUUUUUCCCAUAGGAAUGCAUGGGUUAGGGUUAGGGUUAGGGUUGGAGCUAGGGUUAGGGUUAGGGUUAGGGUUGGAGUUAGGGUUAGUGUUGGAGCUAGGGUUAGGGUUGGGCUUGGAGCUAGGAUUUUUCUGAGUGCACUGAACCAACUCCCGAGUCUCUAGGACAUUCCUAAAAAAAUUUGAUUUUUUCCCAUAGGAAUGCAUGGGUUAGGGUUAUGGUUAGGGUUAGGGUUGGAGCUAGGGUUAGGGUUAGGGUUAGGGUUGGAGUUAGGGUUAGUGUUGGAGCUAGGGUUAGGGUUGGGCUUGGAGCUAGGACUUUUCUGAGUGCAAUGAACCAACUCCCGAGUCUCUUGGACGUUCCCUAAAAAAAUUUGAUUUUUUUCCCAUAGGAAUGCAUGGGUUAGGGUUAGGGUUAGGGUUGGAGCUAGGGUUAGGGUUAGGGUUAGGGUUGGAGUUAGGGUUAGUGUUGGAGCUAGGGUUAGGGUUGGGCUUGGAGCUAGGAUUUUUCUGAGUGCACUGAACCAACUCCCGAGUCUCUAGGACAUUCCUAAAAAAAUUUGAUUUUUUCCCAUAGGAAUGCAUGGGUUAGGGUUAGGGUUAGGGUUGGAGCUAGGGUUAGGGUUAGGGUUAGGGUUGGAGUUAGGGUUAGUGUUGGAGCUAGGGUUAGGGUUGGGCUUGGAGCUAGGAUUUUUCUGAGUGCACUGAACCAACUCCCGAGUCUCUAGGACAUUCCUAAAAAAAUUUGAUUUUUUUCCCAUAGGAAUGCAUGGGUUAGGGUUAGGGUUAGGGUUAGGGUUGGAGCUAGGGUUAGGGUUAGGGUUGGAGUUAGGGUUAGUGUUGGAGCUAGGGUUAGGGUUGGGCUUGGAGCUAGGAUUUUUCUGAGUGCAAUGAACCAACUCCCGAGUCUCUAGGACGUUCCUAAAAAAAUUUGAUUUUUUCCCAUAGGAAUGCAUGGGUUAGGGUUAUGGUUAGGGUUAGGGUUGGAGCUAGGGUUAGGGUUAGGGUUAGGGUUGGAGUUAGGGUUAGUGUUGGAGCUAGGGUUAGGGUUGGGCUUGGAGCUAGGAUUUUUCUGAGUGCACUGAACCAACUCCCGAGUCUCUAGGACAUUCCUAAAAAAAUUUGAUUUUUUCCCAUAGGAAUGCAUGGGUUAGGGUUAGGGUUAGGGUUGGAGCUAGGGUUAGGGUUAGGGUUAGGGUUGGAGUUAGGGUUAGUGUUGGAGCUAGGGUUAGGGUUGGGCUUGGAGCUAGGAUUUUUCUGAGUGCACUGAACCAACUCCCGAGUCUCUAGGACAUUCCUAAAAAAAUUUGAUUUUUUCCCAUAGGAAUGCAUGGGUUAGGGUUAGGGUUAGGGUUGGAGCUAGGGUUAGGGUUAGGGUUAGGGUUGGAGUUAGGGUUAGUGUUGGAGCUAGGGUUAGGGUUGGGCUUGGAGCUAGGAUUUUUCUGAGUGCACUGAACCAACUCCCGAGUCUCUAGGACAUUCCUAAAAAAAUUUGAUUUUUUCCCAUAGGAAUGCAUGGGUUAGGGUUAUGGUUAGGGUUAGGGUUGGAGCUAGGGUUAGGGUUAGGGUUAGGGUUGGAGUUAGGGUUAGUGUUGGAGCUAGGGUUAGGGUUGGGCUUGGAGCUAGGAUUUUUCUGAGUGCACUGAACCAACUCCCGAGUCUCUUGGACGUUCCUAAAAAAAAUUUGAUUUUUUCCCAUAGGAAUGCAUGGGUUAGGGUUAGGGUUAGGGUUGGAGCUAGGGUUAGGGUUAGGGUUAGGGUUGGAGUUAGGGUUAGUGUUGGAGCUAGGGUUAGGGUUGGGCUUGGAGCUAGGAUUUUUCUGAGUGCACUGAACCAACUCCCGAGUCUCUAGGACGUUCCUAAAAAAAUUUGAUUUUUUCCCAUAGGAAUGCAUGGUUGGGUUAGGGUUAGGGUUAGGGUUGGAGCUAGGGUUAGGGUUAGGGUUAGGGUUGGAGUUAGGGUUAGUGUUGGAGCUAGGGUUAGGGUUGGGCUUGGAGCUAGGAUUUUUCUGAGUGCACUGAACCAACUCCCGAGUCUCUAGGACAUUCCUAAAAAAAUUUGAUUUUUUCCCAUAGGAAUGCAUGGGUUAGGGUUAGGGUUAGGGUUGGAGCUAGGGUUAGGGUUAGGGUUAGGGUUGGAGUUAGGGUUAGUGUUGGAGCUAGGGUUAGGGUUGGGCUUGGAGCUAGGAUUUUUCUGAGUGCACUGAACCAACUCCCGAGUCUCUAGGACAUUCCUAAAAAAAUUUGAUUUUUUCCCAUAGGAAUGCAUGGGUUAGGGUUAUGGUUAGGGUUAGGGUUGGAGCUAGGGUUAGGGUUAGGGUUAGGGUUGGAGUUAGGGUUAGUGUUGGAGCUAGGGUUAGGGUUGGGCUUGGAGCUAGGAUUUUUCUGAGUGCACUGAACCAACUCCCGAGUCUCUAGGACAUUCCUAAAAAAAUUUGAUUUUUUCCCAUAGGAAUGCAUGGGUUAGGGUUAUGGUUAGGGUUAGGGUUGGAGCUAGGGUUAGGGUUAGGGUUAGGGUUAGGGUUAGGGUUGGAGUUAGGGUUAGUGUUGGAGCUAGGGUUAGGGUUGGGCUUGGAGCUAGGAUUUUUCUGAGUGCACUGAACCAACUCCCGAGUCUCUAGGACAUUCCUAAAAAUUUGAUUUUUUCCCAUAGGAAUGCAUGGGUUAGGGUUAUGGUUAGGGUUAGGGUUGGAGCUAGGGUUAGGGUUAGGGUUAGGGUUGGAGUUAGGGUUAGUGUUGGAGCUAGGGUUAGGGUUGGGCUUGGAGCUAGGACUUUUCUGAGUGCAAUGAACCAACUCCCGAGUCUCUAGGACGUUCCUAAAAAAAUUUGAUUUUUUUCCCAUAGGAAUGCAUGGGUUAGGGUUAGGGUUAGGGUUGGAGCUAGGGUUAGGGUUAGGGUUAGGGUUGGAGUUAGGGUUAGUGUUGGAGCUAGGGUUAGGGUUGGGCUUGGAGCUAGGAUUUUUCUGAGUGCACUGAACCAACUCCCGAGUCUCUAGGACAUUCCUAAAAAAAUUUGAUUUUUUCCCAUAGGAAUGCAUGGGUUAGGGUUAGGGUUAGGGUUGGAGCUAGGGUUAGGGUUAGGGUUAGGGUUGGAGUUAGGGUUAGUGUUGGAGCUAGGGUUAGGGUUGGGCUUGGAGCUAGGAUUUUUCUGAGUGCACUGAACCAACUCCCGAGUCUCUAGGACAUUCCUAAAAAAAUUUGAUUUUUUUCCCAUAGGAAUGCAUGGGUUAGGGUUAUGGUUAGGGUUAGGGUUGGAGCUAGGGUUAGGGUUAGGGUUAGGGUUGGAGUUAGGGUUAGUGUUGGAGCUAGGGUUAGGGUUGGGCUUGGAGCUAGGAUUUUUCUGAGUGCAAUGAACCAACUCCCGAGUCUCUUGGACGUUCCUAAAAAAAUUUGAUUUUUUCCCAUAGGAAUGCAUGGGUUAGGGUUAGGGUUAGGGUUGGAGCUAGGGUUAGGGUUAGGGUUAGGGUUGGAGUUAGGGUUAGUGUUGGAGCUAGGGUUAGGGUUGGGCUUGGAGCUAGGAUUUUUCUGAGUGCACUGAACCAACUCCCGAGUCUCUAGGACGUUCCUAAAAAAAUUUGAUUUUUUCCCAUAGGAAUGCAUGGGUUAGGGUUAGGGUUAGGGUUGGAGCUAGGGUUAGGGUUAGGGUUAGGGUUGGAGUUAGGGUUAGUGUUGGAGCUAGGGUUAGGGUUGGGCUUGGAGCUAGGAUUUUUCUGAGUGCACUGAACCAACUCCCGAGUCUCUAGGACAUUCCUAAAAAAAUUUGAUUUUUUCCCAUAGGAAUGCAUGGGUUAGGGUUAGGGUUAGGGUUGGAGCUAGGGUUAGGGUUAGGGUUAGGGUUGGAGUUAGGGUUAGUGUUGGAGCUAGGGUUAGGGUUGGGCUUGGAGCUAGGAUUUUUCUGAGUGCACUGAACCAACUCCCGAGUCUCUAGGACAUUCCUAAAAAAAUUUGAUUUUUUCCCAUAGGAAUGCAUGGGUUAGUUAUGGUUAGGGUUAGGGUUGGAGCUAGGGUUAGGGUUAGGGUUAGGGUUGGAGUUAGGGUUAGUGUUGGAGCUAGGGUUAGGGUUGGGCUUGGAGCUAGGAUUUUUCUGAGUGCACUGAACCAACUCCCGAGUCUCUAGGACAUUCCUAAAAAAAUUUGAUUUUUUCCCAUAGGAAUGCAUGGGUUAGGGUUAUGGUUAGGGUUAGGGUUGGAGCUAGGGUUAGGGUUAGGGUUAGGGUUGGAGUUAGGGUUAGUGUUGGAGCUAGGGUUAGGGUUGGGCUUGGAGCUAGGAUUUUUCUGAGUGCACUGAACCAACUCCCGAGUCUCUAGGACAUUCCUAAAAAAAUUUGAUUUUUUCCCAUAGGAAUGCAUGGGUUAGGGUUAGGGUUAGGGUUGGAGCUAGGGUUAGGGUUAGGGUUAGGGUUGGAGUUAGGGUUAGUGUUGGAGCUAGGGUUAGGGUUGGGCUUGGAGCUAGGAUUUUUCUGAGUGCAAUGAACCAACUCCCGAGUCUCUAGGACGUUCCUAAAAAAAUUUGAUUUUUUCCCAUAGGAAUGCAUGGGUUAGGGUUAGGGUUAGGGUUGGAGCUAGGGUUAGGGUUAGGGUUAGGGUUGGAGUUAGGGUUAGUGUUGGAGCUAGGGUUAGGGUUGGGCUUGGAGCUAGGAUUUUUCUGAGUGCACUGAACCAACUCCCGAGUCUCUAGGACAUUCCUAAAAAAAUUUGAUUUUUUCCCAUAGGAAUGCAUGGGUUAGGGUUAUGGUUAGGGUUAGGGUUGGAGCUAGGGUUAGGGUUAGGGUUAGGGUUGGAGUUAGGGUUAGUGUUGGAGCUAGGGUUAGGGUUGGGCUUGGAGCUAGGAUUUUUCUGAGUGCACUGAACCAACUCCCGAGUCUCUAGGACAUUCCUAAAAAAAUUUGAUUUUUUCCCAUAGGAAUGCAUGGGUUAGGGUUAUGGUUAGGGUUAGGGUUGGAGCUAGGGUUAGGGUUAGGGUUAGGGUUGGAGUUAGGGUUAGUGUUGGAGCUAGGGUUAGGGUUGGGCUUGGAGCUAGGAUUUUCUGAGUGCACUGAACCAACUCCCGAGUCUCUAGGACAUUCCUAAAAAAAUUUGAUUUUUUCCCAUAGGAAUGCAUGGGUUAGGGUUAUGGUUAGGGUUAGGGUUGGAGCUAGGGUUAGGGUUAGGGUUAGGGUUAGGGUUGGAGUUAGGGUUAGUGUUGGAGCUAGGGUUAGGGUUGGGCUUGGAGCUAGGAUUUUUCUGAGUGCACUGAACCAACUCCCGAGUCUCUAGGACAUUCCUAAAAAAAUUUGAUUUUUUUCCCAUAGGUAUGCAUGGGUUAGGGUUAGGGUUAGGGUUAGGGUUGGAGCUAGGGUUAGGGUUAGGGUUAGGGUUGGAGUUAGGGUUAGUGUUGGAGCUAGGGUUAGGGUUGGGCUUGGAGCUAGGAUUUUUCUGAGUGCAAUGAACCAACUCCCGAGUCUCUAGGACGUUCCUAAAAAAAUUUGAUUUUUUCCCAUAGGAAUGCAUGGGUUAGGGUUAGGGUUAGGGUUGGAGCUAGGGUUAGGGUUAGGGUUAGGGUUGGAGUUAGGGUUAGUGUUGGAGCUAGGGUUAGGGUUGGGCUUGGAGCUAGGAUUUUCUGAGUGCACUGAACCAACUCCCGAGUCUCUAGGACAUUCCUAAAAAAAUUUGAUUUUUUCCCAUAGGAAUGCAUGGGUUAGGGUUAGGGUUAGGGUUGGAGCUAGGGUUAGGGUUAGGGUUAGGGUUGGAGUUAGGGUUAGUGUUGGAGCUAGGGUUAGGGUUGGGCU
rnacentral:lncRNA from 1 species